rnacentral:rRNA from 1 species
UCGCUCCUACCGAUUGAAUGAUCCGGUGAAAUCUCCGGACCGGUCGCACACAUCGGGUCUCUCGAAGCGUGCUUUUGGAAAGUUGAUUAAACCUUAUCAUUUAGAGGAAGGAG